rnacentral:lncRNA from 1 species
GUCGACCGCUCCGCCUUCUCCCGCCCGGACUCUCUCUCCGACGCCUCCUUGCGCGUCCGCAAGAACUUCGCCUACUUCCGCGUCAACUACAUCGCCCUCCUCGCCGCCGUCCUCGCCCUCUCCCUUCUCUCCCAUCCCUUCUCCCUCCUCGUCCUCUUCGGCCUCCUCGCCGCCUGGUGCUUCCUCUACCUGUUCCGCCCCGCCGAUCCGCCUCUCGUCCUCUUCGGCCGCACCUUCUCCGACCGCGAGACCCUUGGCGCUCUCGUCCUCCUCUCCGUCUUCGUCAUCUUCCUCACCUCCGUCGGAUCCCUCCUCAUCUCCGC